CUAAAAUGGUGUAAUAAGCACAUAAUCUUUUCAUGAUUAAAGAAGUAACAAAAUACUUUUUAGA
rnacentral:tRNA from 1 species